GACGAACGCUGGCGGCGUGCUUAACACAUGCAAGUCGAACGGGUCUGCCCUGUUUUUUGCGGGGUGGGUCAGUGGCGAACGGGUGAGUAACACGUGAGUAACCUGCCCCUCACUUCUGGAUAACCGCUUGAAAGGGUGGCUAAUACGGGGUGUUCUGGCUGUGCCGCAUGGUGUGGCUGGGAAAGAUUCACUUUUGUGGUGUUUUGGUGGGGGAUGGGCUCGCGGCCUAUCAGCUUGUUGGGGGGGUGAUGGCCUGCCAAGGCUUUGACGGGUAGCCGGCCUGGGAGGGUUGGCGGUCCCACUGGGACUGGGGUACGGCCCAGACUCCUGCGGGAGGCAGCAGUGGGGGGUAUUGCACAAUGGGCGGAAGCCUGAUGCAGCGACGUCGCGUGAGGGAUGGAGGCCUUCGGGUUGUGAACCUCUUUCGCCGGUGAAGAAGGUCCUGCUCUUUGUGGUGGGGUUGACGGUAGCCGGGUUAUGAAGCGCCGGCUAACUACGUG
rnacentral:rRNA from 1 species